AUCCCCUGGUCAAAACUAUUCUCAUGCGCAGCCGUUUCACUGGCUGUGCUUCUGGUUUGCAUUGGUCUCUCCUCUGCUUUUCUCCAGUACUUGUGACUUAAGAACUCUGCACCAGGUAGUUUUGAACAACUCUCUCCUCCACAGCUACUAGUCUUAGGUACUCUCCCGUUUGAAACCGCAAGAUCGCAUGAUAUUUCAUCCAAAGCCAUCUCUAGACCGCUUACACGAGACUCCAGAGACUGGAUCCCACUCUGUGAGCUUCCCAUAAAUUUCUACAUCCAAAAGUAUUUCAGUGAGGUUUGACCCAUCUAUAACAUUCCUAAACCAAACAUUUUAUCUACAUUUAAAGACCAAUUAUGUAUACCCGAAGUAGGUCUAAAAGACUGGACUGCUGGUUCUCAAUCAUAGCAAGCUGCUCGCGUAUCAAAGAAAGUUCCUCACUAUCUUUCCUGCUCUCAUCAACACCAUCUUUACCAUUCUUGACAAGAGAAUCACAAGAAUCAUCACCAUCGUCGCUGCAUGGUGCCACCCUAGAACCAGACCUCAAACCACAAUCAAAGCCACCUACUUUCUUAUCUUCCCGGCCCUUCUCAGAGAUUGUAUGUUUGAUUAUAUCUGGUCCCCCUGACUUCACCUGCUCCUCCUCCCUAGAAGCUACUGACACGGUCACGUUCCUUCUUGGAAGAUUCUCCUUUUGUUGUCUACUUGCUACAUAUGAUCUAUUCACAGGCAAAGAUGGUGACCUCUUGAUCAUACGCGUUGACUUCUUUAGUCUUGAAGACUUGACACCAACGUCAAGGGAAGAUGUACAUGGAGACAACAAGGCUUCGUCUACAUCAUUGGCCACUUCUUUCCACUGACUCAAUGCUCUAUUCAUAGUCUCUCUCACACUCUUCACCUUAUCAAACCUUCUGCUUUCAAGAGCCGCCGUGCAAGCUUUCUUGUAUUCCCACGCCAACUCCUCCUCGGCCGCCGCGACUCUACUCAACCCCUCCGCAGCGGAUUUCCUCGCCGCCCAAUCUUCACUGCUCAGAAAGUCUAUCAAAACCGGAACUAACCAAUCCAAAACCGGUUUACUUCCCGCGCCACCCGCGGUGAUGAUACUACCCACGGCGCUUAAAAGCGCCGCCUUGGCCUUGAAAGCCUCGCUCUUUAGCAUCUUCCCGAUCUUGGGAAGAGACUUCCUCAACUGCUCCGGCUCAGGAUCCGCCGCAGCUUCCACCGACGCCGCCAAACACACCGCCGCUCCGGUCUGCACGUUCGAGUCGCCUUCCUGGAUCAGCGUCUCGAUAAGCGAAUAAUAAUCUUUAUAAAUCUAAGGCUUCGAAUCCAAUGGUAACCCGCUUCCUGCCCCGCAGUUAUACAAAAAUCUUUAUAUAUAUCUUAUAUAUAUAUAUAUUUAUAACUGUUAGAACCGCAUCACAAUUAAAUCGUUUAUUGCGCACCGCUCAACUCAUACUCACCAUUCUGAACCUAAAUUGGAUUUGAAGAAAUCGUCAUUGGUGUGUUUUGUUUUUCUUACAGAUAAUAGUGUAGGUCAGAAAGAUUCUGUCCUUUUUGAUGUCGUGUUAAAUCCUUACAAAAAGUAAACUAUAAUAUAUAUAUAUAUAUGUGAUAUUUACAAAUUCGAAUGAAAUGUUGGCGAAAACAAAAUCAAUGAUUUUGAUUCAACAAUAGCAAAUGCAUUACUACCAAUACGCCUGGGCAUUUUAACCUCCAUCCGAAAAUCCGAACCGAAACCGACCAAAAAAUACCUCAUUUGGAACUGAACCGAAAAUUUACAAGUAUUUUUUAGAUCUAAAUUUCUUUUACCCGAAAAAACCGGAAUAGAAAGAAACCGAUCCGAAUAGAUCCGGACCCGAAAAACCCGGAUCCGAAAAAUCCGACCCGAAUAGACCCGACCUGAUAAGAACCGAUUUGUACCCGACUUAAAAACAUGUAUAUCUAAAACUAUAAUUUUUUGUGUUCUAUUUUAUAUAUAAUAUUUUAUGAUUUAGUUGAAAUAUCUUUUGUUAACAACAUUUAUUAUUAUUUUAUAACAUUUUUAAGGAAUAUGAAGAUUUAAAAUGUAAAAUUUAGAGUUUAAAAAUGUUUUAUUUUAAUUAUUAAUAGUUUCACUUAAGUUAUUUAGUAAAAUUUUAGAUAUAUAUGACAAAUAUCGACUAAAUUUGAUGGUGUUGGGUAUGCCAUGUCCUUUUUAGAUCUUAAAUAUCUGAAUCCGACCCAGACCCGAUAUGGACCCGAAAAAUUACGGGAAUUUUAAUUAUAGACCCGAACCAAUCCAGACCCGAAAAAAACCGAUCCGAAUCCAAUCCGAAAAUUUCUAAGUAUUUAUUGGGUCUAAAUAUUUAGGAUCCGAAAGAUCCGGAUCCGAAAGAUCCGGAUCCGAAAGGAACCGGCCUGAAUCCGAAAGGAAUCGGUCCGAACCCGACCCGAAGACCCAACGCCUAGGCCUAAUUACCAAUACCUAAUAAUUAUUUUAGAUUACGACAAGAAAUUUAAAUUAAAUAAAAAAACUGACAGGCAAUGGAACAUAUUCUAACUGGCGAACCUUUGAACAGUUCCAAGAUUACAGAAAUAUAUUAAUUAAUUAAGUGAAUAAGACAAAUUGAAUAUGAUAUGUUGUAAUGUUGUGCUCUAUAAUUCUGUUUGACAUUUGACUUGUUCAGAGUAUCAAUGAUGCUCUCUUAUCAGAGAUAUUAAUCAUCAUAUUUCUGUUUUUUCAACUAAAAUGGCCAUGAUUAUUUAAUUUAGGGUUUUUUGCAAAAGUGACUCAAAACUUGGAGUCAAACAGAAAACUAACAUUUUCUUUUGACUCCUUUUUUUUUUGAGAUUUUAACCCCACACCUGCAUUUUAUCUACGAAAAUGCCAUUAACAUUUUGUUUUUUUUUUUUUCGAAAAUGGCUUCUUUACUGUCUCAACCUCAUCUUCUUCAAGUAUUUACAAUAUUGCCACUGCAAUGAAUAGUGGCAACAACCUUGUACGAACUGUUUGGAGCUUUUAAUGCCCUUUAAUGCACGUAAAUCUCUUUACACUCUCUCUGUUUCAAUUGUUAUGAACUAAAAACAACAUUUCUUUCACUUUCUCUCUAUAUUCAUCCAAAAAACUCAAGCUUUUGAUUCAAAAUAUGGGCUAUGGUUGACAGAGCCAUAUUUCUUUCGUUUUGACUUACGGUUGCUUUCGUUUGAGGUUCUGGGUGGUUGGAGAAGACCCUGUGUGCAAACGAAGUCAUCUCACCUAGUUUAAGGUACGAAUUUGAAUUUUUUUUCAAGAUCUGUUCGCGUAGAAGACUUACUAGUAAGUCAUCUGUAUGUAGAAGACUUACUGAUGAGUCUUCUGGUCAAACGGACGACUUAAAUUAAGUCGUCAAGCUUUGUUUGUCUGGAGCUUGGCCCACUUGUUUGAAUUAUACAUUAUUAACCACUUUUGAUUAGCACAAAUAUGUACUAAGAACUAAAAAUGUAAAAUACGAAUGAUGUAAAUAAUAAAUUAAUAUCACGUUGGAUGAAAAAAAAAUUAAUAUCACAUUGUUAUGAAAACAAAAUUUAUUUGCAAAUUUGUUUCUUAAUAAAUAUUUGAUAUAGUUUUUAUUUAAAUGAAAUCUAACAAUACAAAUAUUUAUAUAAACUACUAGAAUAUAUAAAACUACUAUAGAUUUCUGCUAUAAAAUUGUGUUGGUUUUAAAGUAUAUACAUUCAAUAAUAUAAAAAAGUUCAAAAAUAUGAAAACGAAAUAAAACAUCCUGCGCAGGUUAGAAUUUAGCUGUAUUUAAAACUAGGUCAUGUGUAAUCCUCGAAUACUCUCUGAUUUUUCGAUAACUUGCUAGGUCUGGGGUUACCGACCGACUGGCACCUAGCGUAGUUCCGAAGAGGGGUUUUGAGAUAGCUCUAAUGAGUAAUGAAUGACACAUUACAAUAAAAAUCACUUUUAUUCACAUGCCUUUAAUCCUUGAAGCUCUAUUGAUUCACUUGCUGAUUAAUUUAUUAGAUUAUUUCUUCUUCUUUUUUACAAGAGAAAGCUUAAUAUGACAUGUGUGUGAGAGUGGACAAGGCAGACAUGCGGUUGAAGCAAAGCAUUGAAUAUGAGAUUUGGAUUUUUCAUUGUCACCGUCUGAGUCAGUCUGGUCAGCUUCUAUUUUACUUCAAUCUCCGCAUCACUCUCUUCCCCUAUUAAAAAAAAGAUCAAUUACUUAUGUGCAUUCUCUCUUUUACUUCAAGUAGACAAUCUGAAUAUACAAACAAGCUAACCACCGAGGAAAGCAACUAAAAGAUGGUUUUACCUGGUUGUUGGUUUCUGUAGCGUUGUAUGCACGGAGUCUUGAAACUGGUUUCUUGCUGAUCUCUUUUGAAAAACAGAACCUCUCUUUUGCAUCCCCUGGUCAAAACUAUUCUCAUGCGCAGCCGUUUCACUGGCUGUGCUUCUGGUUUGCAUUGGUCUCUCCUCUGCUUUUCUCCAGUACUUGUGACUUAAGAACUCUGCACCAGGUAGUUUUGAACAACUCUCUCCUCCACAGCUACUAGUCUUAGGUACUCUCCCGUUUGAAACCGCAAGAUCGCAUGAUAUUUCAUCCAAAGCCAUCUCUAGAC
rnacentral:lncRNA from 1 species